rnacentral:tRNA from 1 species
UAUUUGUUGAUGUUAUAGCAUAAAAAGUUUUGAUCUUUUAAGAAAUGGUGUAAACCCAUUACAAAUAA